rnacentral:rRNA from 1 species
GAUGAACGCUGGCGGCGUGCUUAACACAUGCAAGUCGAACGAAGCACUUUAUUUGAUUUCCUUCGGGACUGAUUAUUUUGUGACUGAGUGGCGAACGGGUGAGUAACGCGUGAGGAACCUGCCUCAAAGAGGGGGACAACAGUUGGAAACGACUGCUAAUACCGCAUAAGCCCACGGGUCGGCAUCGACCAGAGGGAAAAGGAGCAAUCCGCUUUGAGAUGGCCUCGCGUCCGAUUAGCUAGUUGGUGAGGUAAUGGCCCACCAAGGCGACGAUCGGUAGCCGGACUGAGAGGUUGAACGGCCACAUUGGGACUGAGACACGGCCCAGACUCCUACGGGAGGCAGCAGUGGGGAAUAUUGCACAAUGGGGGGAAACCCUGAUGCAGCGACGCCGCGUGGAGGAAGAAGGUCUUCGGAUUGUAAACUCCUGUUGUUGGGGAAGAUAAUGACGGUACCCAACAAGGAAGUGACGGCUAACUACGUG